AACGAACGCUGGCGGCAUGCCUAACACAUGCAAGUCGAACGAGACCUUCGGGUCUAGUGGCGCACGGGUGCGUAACGCGUGGGAACCUGCCCUUAGGUUCGGAAUAACUCCCCGAAAGGGGUGCUAAUACCGGAUAAUGUCUUCGGACCAAAGAUUUAUCGCCUUUGGAUGGGCCCGCGUUGGAUUAGCUAGUUGGUAGGGUAAAAGCCUACCAAGGCGACGAUCCAUAGCUGGUCUGAGAGGAUGAUCAGCCACACUGGGACUGAGACACGGCCCAGACUCCUACGGGAGGCAGCAGUGGGGAAAAUUGAACAGUGGGCGAAAGCCUGAUCCAGCAAGGCCGGGUGAGUGAUGAAGGCCUUAGGUUUGUAAAGCUCUUUUACCCGGGAUGAUAAUGACAGUACCGGGAGAAUAAGCUCCGGCUAACUCCGU
rnacentral:rRNA from 1 species